rnacentral:rRNA from 1 species
GACGAACGCUGGCGGCGUGCCUAACACAUGCAAGUCGAACGAAGCAUUUGGAGCUGAUCUCUUCGGAGUGACGCGCCUUAUGACUUAGUGGCGGACGGGUGAGUAACACGUGAGCAACCUGCCUCUCAGAGUGGAAUAACAGUUGGAAACGGCUGCUAAUACCGCAUAACGUCAUUUUGCCGCAUGACAGAGUGACCAAAGAUUUAUCGCUGAGAGAUGGGCUCGCGUCCGAUUAGGUAGAUGGUGGGGUAACGGCCUACCAUGCCGACGAUCGGUAGCCGGACUGAGAGGUUGAUCGGCCACAUUGGGACUGAGACACGGCCCAGACUCCUACGGGAGGCAGCAGUGGGGAUAUUGCACAAUGGGCGCAAGCCUGAUGCAGCAACGCCGCGUGCGGGAAGACGGCCUUCGGUUGUAACCGACUGUCCUUGGGUAGAACGAAUAGACGGUACCAAGAAGGAAGACCGACGGCUAACUACGUGACCG